GGGGACAGUGGUGACAGGUGGUGCAUGGUUGUCGUCAGCUCGUGUCGUGAGAUGUUGGGUUAAGUCCCGCAACGAGCGCAACCCUUGAUCUUAGUUGCCAGCAUUCAGUUGGGCACUCUAAGGUGACUGCCGGUGACAAACCGGAGGAAGGUGGGGAUGACGUCAAAUCAUCAUGCCCCUUAUGACCUGGGCUACACACGUGCUACAAUGGACGAUACAAAGGGCUGCAAACCCGCGAGGGGGAGCCAAUCCCAUAAAAUCGUUCUCAGUUCGGAUUGUAGGCUGCAACUCGCCUACAUGAAGCCGGAAUCGCUAGUAAUCGUGGAUCAGCAUGCCACGGUGAAUACGUUCCC
rnacentral:rRNA from 1 species